rnacentral:rRNA from 1 species
CCUACGGGCGGCAGCAGUGAGGAAUAUUGGUCAAUGGGCGCGAGCCUGAACCAGCCAAGUAGCGUGAAGGAAGACUGCCCUACGGGUUGUAAACCUCUUUUAUAAAGGAAUAAAGUGAGGCACGUGUGCCUCUUUGUACGUACCUUAAGAAAAAGCAUCGGCUAACUCCGUGCCAGCAGCCGCGGUAAUACGGAGGAUCCGAGCGUUAUCCGGAUUUAUUGGGUUUAAAGGGAGCGUAGAUGGGUUGUUAAGUCAGUUGUGAAAUUUUGGGGCUCAACCGUAACAUUGCCAUUGAAACUGGCAGCCUUGAGUGCGGUAGAGGUAGGCGGAAUUCGUGGUGUAGCGGUGAAAUGCAUAGAUAUCACGAAGAACUCCGAUUGCGAAGGCAGCCUACUGGGCUGCAACUGACGUUGAUGCACGAAAGUGUGGGUAUCGAACAGGAUUAGAUACCCGGGUAGUC